CAUCCAGACUCCUACGGGAGGCAGCAGUAGGGAAUAUUGCUCAAUGGGGGAAACCCUGAAGCAGCAACGCCGCGUGGAGGAUGAAGGUUUUCGGAUUGUAAACUCCUUUUGUUAGAGAAGAUAAUGACGGUAUCUAACGAAUAAGCACCGGCUAACUCCGUGCCAGCAGCCGCGGUAAUACGGAGGGUGCAAGCGUUACUCGGAAUCACUGGGCGUAAAGAGCGCGUAGGCGGGAUAGCAAGUCAGAUGUGAAAUCCUAUGGCUUAACCCUUGGACUGCCUUUGAAACUUUUAUUCUAGAGUAUGGGAGAGGGUGGUUGAAUUCUUGGUGUAGGGGUAAAAUCCGUAGAGAUCAAGAGGAAUACUCAUUGCGAAGGCGACCUGCUAGGACAUAACU
rnacentral:rRNA from 1 species